GAUGAACGCUAGCGACAGGCUUAACACAUGCAAGUCGAGGGGCAGCAUGAUUUGUAGCAAUACAGAUUGAUGGCGACCGGCGCACGGGUGAGUAACGCGUAUGCAACUUACCUAUCAGAGGGGGAUAGCCCGGCGAAAGUCGGAUUAAUACCCCCAUAAAACAGGGGUCCCGCAUGGGAAUAUUUGUUAAAGAUUCAUCGCUGAUAGAUAGGCAUGCGUUCCAUUAGGCAGUUGGUGGGGUAACGGCCCACCAAGCCUUCGAUGGAUAGGGGUUCUGAGAGGAAGGUCCCCCACAUUGGAACUGAGACACGGUCCAAACUCCUACGGGAGGCAGCAGUGAGGAAUAUUGCACAAUGGGGGAAACCCUGAUGCAGCGACGCCGCGUGAGCGAAGAAGUAUUUCGGUAUGUAAAGCUCUAUCAGCAGGGAAGAAGAAUGACGGUACCUGACUAAGAAGCACCGGCUAAAAUACGUGCCAGCAGCCGC
rnacentral:rRNA from 1 species